GCUGAGGGGGCGAAAAGUGUGUGGAGCAAACAGGAUUAGAUAUCCUGGUAGUCCACACUGUAAACGAUGGAUACUAGGUGUAUGAGAGUAUCGACCCCUUCUGUGCCGGAGUUAACCCAAUAAGUAUCCCCCCUGGGGAGUUCGAUCGCAAGAUUGAAACUCAAAGGAAUUGACGGGGGCCCGCACAAGCAGUGGAGUAUGUGGUUUAAUUUGAAGCAACGGGAAGAACCUUUCCAGGGCUUGACAUCCCACGCAUAGUCUAGAGAUAGAUGAAGUCCUUCCGGGAGCGUGGAGACAGGUGGUGCAUGGUAGUCGUCAGCUCAGUGUCGUGAGAUGUUGGGUUAAGUCCCGUCAACGAGCGCAACCCUUAUUCGCCAGUUGCCAUCAUUAACUUGGGCACUCUGGCGAGACUGCCGGUGACAAAUCGGAGGAAGGUGGGGAUGACGUCAAAUCAUCAUGCCCCUUAUGUCCUGGGCUACACACGUACAUACAAUGGCGGAUAACAGAAGUGAAGCAAAGACUGUGAGGUGGAGCGAAUCACAAAAAUCGGUCUCAGUUCAGAUUGUAGGCUGAAACUCG
rnacentral:rRNA from 1 species